AGUGAACGCUGGCGGUAGGCCUAACACAUGCAAGUCGAACGGCAGCACAGUAAGAGCUUGCUCUUACGGGUGGCGAGUGGCGGACGGGUGAGGAAUACAUCGGAAUCUACUUUUUCGUGGGGGAUAACGUAGGGAAACUUACGCUAAUACCGCAUACGACCUACGGGUGAAAGCAGUGGAUCUUCGGACCUUGCGCGAUUGAAUGAGCCGAUGUCGGAUUUGCUGGUUGGCGGGGUAAAGGCCCACCAAGGCGACGAUCCGUAGCUGGUCUGAGAGGAGGAUCAGCGACACUGGAACUGAGACACGGUCCAGACUCCUACGGGAGGCAGCAGUGGGGAAUAUUGGACAAUGGGCGCAAGCCUGAUCCAGCCAUACCGCGUGGGUGAAGAAGGCCUUCGGGUUGUAAAGCCCUUUUGUUGGGAAAGAAAAGCAGCAGGUUAAUACCCCGCUGUUCUGACGGUACCCAAAGAAUAAGCACCGGCUAACUUCGUG
rnacentral:rRNA from 1 species